rnacentral:rRNA from 1 species
UGUCACUUACAGAUGGACCCGCGGCGCAUUAGCUAGUUGGUGGGGUAAUGGCUCACCAAGGCGACGAUGCGUAGCCGACCUGAGAGGGUGAUCGGCCACACUGGGACUGAGACAGGCCCAGACUCCUACGGGAGGCAGCAGUAGGGAAUCUUCCGCAAUGGACGAAAGUCUGACGGAGCAACGCCGCGUGAGUGAUGAAGGUUUUCGGAUCGUAAAGCUCUGUUGUUAGGGAAGAACAAGUCGAGAGUAACUGCUCGCACCUUGACGGUACCUAACCAGAAAGCCACGGCUAACUACGUGCCAGCAGCCGCGGUAAUACGUAGGUGGCAAGCGUUGUCCGGAAUUAUUGGGCGUAAAGGGCUCGCAGGGGUUUCUUAAGUCUGAUGUGAAAGCCCCCGGCUCAACCGGGGAGGGUCAUUGGAAACUGGGAAACUUGAGUGCAGAAGAGGAGAGUGGAAUUCCACGUGUAGCGGUGAAAUGCGUAGAGAUGUGGAGAACACCAGUGGCGAAGGCGACUCUCUGGUCUGUAACUGACGCUGAGGAGCGAAAGCGUGGGGAGCGAACAGGAUUAGAUACCCUGGUAGUCCACGCCGUAAACGAUGAGUGCUAAGUGUUAGGGGGUUCCGCCCCUUAGUGCUGCAGCUAACGCAUUAAGCACUCCGCCUGGGGAGUACGGUCGCAAGACUGAAACUCAAAGGAAUUGACGGGGGCCCGCACAAGCGGUGGAGCAUGUGGUUUAAUUCGAAGCACGCGAAGAACCUUACCAGGUCUUGACAUCCUCUGACAACCCUAGAGAUAGGGCUUUCCCUUCGGGGACAGAGUGACAGGUGGUGCAUGGUUGUCGUCAGCUCGUGUCGUGAGAUGUUGGGUUAAGUCCGCAACGAGCGCAACCCUUGAUCUUAGUUGCCAGCAUUCAGUUGGGCACUCUAAGGUGACUGCCGGUGACAAACCGGAGGAAGGUGGGGAUGACGUCAAAUCAUCAUGCCCCUUAUGACCUGGGCUA